GACGAACGCUGGCGGCGUGCCUAAUGCAUGCAAGUAGAACGCUGAAGGAGGAGCUUGCUCUUCUGGAUGAGUUGCGAACGGGUGAGUAACGCGUAGGUAACCUGCCUGGUAGCGGGGGAUAACUAUUGGAAACGAUAGCUAAUACCGCAUAACAGUAGAUGUUGCAUGACAUUUACUUAAAAGGUGCAAUUGCAUCACUACCAGAUGGACCUGCGUUGUAUUAGCUAGUUGGUGGGGUAACGGCUCACCAAGGCGACGAUACAUAGCCGACCUGAGAGGGUGAUCGGCCACACUGGGACUGAGACACGGCCCAGACUCCUACGGGAGGCAGCAGUAGGGAAUCUUCGGCAAUGGACGGAGGUCUGACCGAGCAACGCCGCGUGAGUGAAGAAGGUUUUCGGAUCGUAAAGCUCUGUUGUAAGAGAAGAACGAGUGUGAGAGUGGAAAGUUCACACUGUGACGGUAUCUUACCAGAAAGGGACGGCUAACUACGUG
rnacentral:rRNA from 1 species